rnacentral:rRNA from 1 species
AGUGAACGCUGGCGGUAGGCCUAACACAUGCAAGUCGAACGGCAGCACAGUAAGAGCUUGCUCUUACGGGUGGCGAGUGGCGGACGGGUGAGGAAUACAUCGGAAUCUACUUUUUCGUGGGGGAUAACGUAGGGAAACUUACGCUAAUACCGCAUACGACCUACGGGUGAAAGCAGGGGAUCUUCGGACCUUGCGCGAUUGAAUGAGCCGAUGUCGGAUUAGCUAGUUGGCGGGGUAAAGGCCCACCAAGGCGACGAUCCGUAGCUGGUCUGAGAGGAUGAUCGGCCACACUGGAACUGAGACACGGUCCAGACUCCUACGGGAGGCAGCAGUGGGGAAUAUUGGACAAUGGGCGCAAGCCUGAUCCAGCCAUACCGCGGGGGUGAAGAAGUCCUUCGGGUUGUAAAGCCCUUUUGUUGGGAAAGAAAAGCAGCAGGUUAAUACCCCGCUGUUCUGACGGUACCCAAAGAAUAAGCACCGGCUAACUUCGU